rnacentral:rRNA from 1 species
CCCUUAGAUGUUCGGGGCCGCACGCGCGCUACACUGAAGGAAUCAGCACGUCUUUCUCCUUGUCCGAAAAGACUGGGUAACCCGCUGAACCUCCUUCGUGCUAGGGAUUGGGGCUUGUAAUUCUUCCCCAUGAACGAGGAAUUCCCAGUAAGCGCGAGUCAUAAGCUCGCGUUGAUUACGUCCCUGCCCUUUGUACACACCGCCCGUCGCUACUACCGAUUGGAUGGUUUAGUGAGAUCCUCGGAUUGGUCCCGGAGCGGCCUCUGGUCGUGCCGGAGUGCCGAAAAGAAUGUCGAACUUGAUCAUCUAGAGGAAGUAAAAGUCGUAACA